ensembl:snoRNA
AUUAACUUGUAAUUCAUAAGCACGAUGAUUGGAUGUUCAUGCUAUUUUGUGACAUGUGCCUCCCUCACACAUUGCUACAACAUUGGCGCAUUAUCUGUCUACCA